UUAAAAAAAAAAAACCACCCGAGGCGGAAACCUCGAUGCUCCGCGCCUGCAUCUCUUCGUCUUCACCCUUUGUUCUUCAUCGUAACAGAAUUUUCGAUCCACAUCUCUACAAUCAAUACCCCACGACAUCUCCAUCCAUCAAUUGAUCCUUUAUGAGUUCGUUUCGGUUUGCUUUUUUCCUGCUCCUUUAUAAACUGUUCAUCUCUUUUGAGUGGAAACCAAAUCUCAAACUUCUCUCCUUACUCUAUGGCGAUCAAACCGAAUGGAAAAUCCCCUGUUACCUCCGAUCACGAUGACAAAAUCAUGCUUUUCGAAUCUCCAUCUCGGUUCAAUCAUUUUGACAAUGAAGUCUUUUCUCAACUCUUAGCAUCCUCUGUCGUUCAACUUCUCUUUCUGGCCAAUAAAUGUGAAAGGAAUCGUUUUUGGCAAGCAGGCAAUGCAAAUCACAGUGCAUCAACGGAGGAAGGUACUGUGCUCCUGAUACAACGGGAGAGACAUGAUCGAUCAGGAUUUGCGGCAGGCUUGCUUCUUUUUCAAAUACUGAGAAUCACGUGUUCAGAGGUGAACAAGAAGCACAAGUUGGGAAAGGCUCGCGAGGAGAUGUGACAAUAUUACCAACUAUUAUGAUAAACAACAAACAACCCAGAGGUGAGAGAAGCAAGGAUGUUCUGUUGGAGAGAUCGGUGGUGCUUAAGGACCUUUGCUCAGGGUUUAGCGAGACGACUGAGCCACACAUAUGCUUAAACAAAGGCAGACAUAGAAACCAACGAGUGUUUGCAAAACAAUGGAGGGUGUUGGGAGGAUAAGACUAUCAACAUUACAGCUUGCAGGGCCACUUUCAGAGGAAGAGUAUGUCAAUGUCCUGUUGUUCAAGGUGUCAAGUUUUGGGUGAAGUUGUUGCUGCUGUUCAGUAUGAUCAUUCAAAAGGCUGCAAAUGUCCACCUGGAUUAAAGGGAGUUGGGCUCAAAUAUACAGUUUGUGAAAGUCAUGACUCAUGAGACUUGAACUGGAAAUGGUGGAGAAAGAAAAGAAAGAAUUCAUCUCUCGAUUUCUCCAAGGAUUUGGAGGAAUGUUGCAGCUAAAACAGUCACUACACGUGUUCUUUAGGUGCGGAAUCGGUAAUGGUCGAACAGCUUCCUUCUGGUACGAUUACUUGACUGAGUUAGGGCAUAUUGGGGAUCUCUUGGGUCCUGCGGGAUCAACAACUUCGCAUACAGUGGAAUGCAACUUUUUCAGUAGCAACACGUCUUGGAAAUUAUUACUUUCCUCCCGUACGUUUUCUUAAUGCAGAAACUCCAAUGGUUGGUAUUUCUUCUACACAACAUCCAUAAAAUUCUUAUGCGAUGAUGUGUAUUUGUGGUGAGGUCCUGCUUGAAUUUUUUUAAAUAGAUUGAUCUCCUCCAAAGUGACAUAGGAACGGCUUAGACAACCUGCACCUGUUGUUUCUUGCCAUACUACGGUUUGGUUCAAGCAAGAAAUUCCAGGAUGUUCUUUUGUUACUUGGAUUGCUAUGUCAUCUAGACUCCCUUCUAGAAAUAGGCUGUUGUCUUGGGGUUUGACUGUCCUUGCAAGCUGUGUUCUAUGUACGAAUGGUACAGAGUCUCAUGGACAUCUCUUCUUCCACUACGCUUUCGCAGUUGGAUUGUGGAACAUAUUCACGGGGAACCAGCUAGACAUUGGCCCAUCAGACUUCUUGGACUCGGUGGACUGCAUGACUUAACACCGGACAGUGCAAACAUCUUCAAGCUGCUACUGCAACUCAUCAUGUAUAAUAUAUGGAGAGAACGUAACUGCAAGAUUUUCAGACAAACUUCCUCUUCUGCUGAGGCGGUUCUCAGUAUAAUUGAUUGAUCAAUGAAGGAUAAGCUUCUCUCCAUUCCAACAGUUUACAUCUCCCUCUAUGCUCUAGCUCUACUUCUAAUUCAUUGAACCUUUCAGCUAAUGAUGCUCACUCUUUGUUUUUCAUUUUCUUUGUUUCUCCUCCUCUGUCCUCAAAAGAGAUAAUAAAAUGAGAGGAGAUUUUGUUUCGGUUUGACUCGAAAAGAAUCUAAUCGCCAUGUAACCAUUUUGAGUAAUCAUGUCAUUGACUUUGGCUCCGAUGUAUUAGAUAUAUAUUGGUGUUAGCUUUGUCUC